AACAAUGCCUGGCACACAGGUUUUCAGUAAAUUUUUGUUGAAUGGAUGUGAUAUUUUGAGCUUUUAAGAUAACAUUUACUAACACAAAAUGUUAAAUAUCAUGAGGCAUAUGUUAAGUAACAUGAACAGUAAAGACAGUAGUUUGAGCCAGGAGACAGCAUUACAUAUGUUUAAGGGCCUAGAUUUUGUUGUUGGGUUUAAGACUUAGCUUGCCACUUACUAUCUGUACAACUUUGAAGAAUUUAACCACAGAGCUUCACUUAGUUUCUCUCACCUUGAAAAAGUGGGAAAAUACAACAACUUUCACAGGAUUGUGUGGAUUAAAUAGAACAAGUCCAUUGAUGUGAUAGUAGCACACAUUAAAUUCUCUAUAAAAGUAGCUUAGCUAUCACUAUUUUUUGCUUCAUAGUGGAGAAAUACUGCAGGUUGGUGCGAUUGGGGAAAACACCAUAGACAAGAUGACAUGAGGCUAGGAAGAAGAUUUAAGUGGAUAGAUUUGAGGGUAAAGUGAAUAGAUUGCUUUCACUAGAACCAAAGUGUUUGCUAGAGCAGUAGCAAGAGAUAAAGCUGGAAAGGGAAGUUCCAAUAAGCUGUAUACAAGAUAUGCUACUGGGAUUCCUCGAAGAUAGAGUAGAAUGAAUGAAGUAAGAUAACUUUUUAAAGUGUUUUUGUUUGGUUUGAUUUUUAGGUUCAGACCUCGGGAAGUUAUUUGCACUAAGGAAGUAGAUAGCAAAUUGUUAAUGGGAUACUAAGGUUCUUGUCACUUGACCCAGUAAAAUACCAAGGCAAAAUCUCACUGAAAAACAAAUGGACCCUUAAACAAUGAGGGACAGAAUUCAGCACACAAAUAAAAUGACAACCUCAUGGAGUGAUCGAUUACAGAAUGCAGCAGAUAUGCCUGCAAACAUGGAUAAGCAUGCUCUAAAAAAGUAUCGGCGAGAAGCCUAUCAUCGGCUGUUCACUGCUACGAAUCUUUAAUAGUAAAAGCUGAAGGAAAAGUGGAAUCUGAUUUCUUUUGUCAAUUAGGUCACUUCAACCUCUUAUUGGAAGAUUAUUCAAAAGGUAACGGGUUUUGCUUUUUAAAUUUCUGCUUGACUUACACAUUAUGUAAUUCUGAUGUUUUUUGUUUUUUUGUCACCUCACUUGCUACUAUUUUUUUAUAUUCUUUCUAGAACCUCAUAAACUUAGUAAGCAAUGAGAAAGAAGGUACAGUAAAUGGAAAUGAAAAAAUGUAACUAUAAACAUUCAGUGAAUUUGAUGAUGCAAUAAAACAACAUCCUGCUUACUGAAAAUUCAGUCCCUGGUCUGGAUGCCAAUUUACAAAUAGUAAGGGCAGAAUUUCAGAGAAAAAGAAAUGAAGGUUUAUUAAUUUUCCAGGCAAAUAAAUGAGGACAGUGGAUUAGUGUGCUAAAUCUGAAGGGAGAGGUGGUUUAUAGUAAAUCCCAGGAGUUUGGUGCUUCAUAGUGUGAUUAUUUCCCCUCUUGUUAGCACUUGUCUCAGAAACUUCAUGUCCUGUUGACAUACAGUUUUUUGUAGUCAGACACAUGGUGGUUCAGCAGGUGGCUAAAAUAGUGUUAAUCUUGAAUUCCCUAGCAUUGGAGAAGAAAGAGAAGAAAUAAAGAAAACUGAAACUUGAGCCAUUGAGUAAAGCAAGUUGGCUAGAGAGAUGAUUUAGUUAUUAGGCAAAAAAUUUAUAGCUGUAAGCACCUUGUAGGUAUCUUUUCUUCUUAUUGUAUAUGUGUAUUGCUAUUUUUGUUUGCCCUGUAAAACAUCCAUGUUCCCUUAAAUCUUACCAUAGUAAAAAGAGUGCAUGUUUGGUAUUUUGUCUGUGUAUUCAAUUAUGAGUGUCUUGGGAAAAAAGAAGUACCAUUUUUCAUUUUUGUUAUUGAUUUCCUUUUUUUUUUUUUGGUAAUACUAGGAUUUGAAGUCAUAUAUACAAAUGUGAAUAUCUUGGGAAAGAGAAAUACUGUUUUUUGUAUUUGUUCUCGAUUUUCUUUUCUUUUUUGGCUGCACUGGGAAUUUGGGGUUUGAU